rnacentral:rRNA from 1 species
UAAUACCGGUUCUCGUUAGAUCACCGAAGUCAAGCAUCAUUGGGCGCGGUCAGUACUUGGGUGGGUGACCACCUGGGAACACCGCGUGCCGUU